UACGAAGGGGGCUAGCGUUGUCCGGAAUUAUUGGGCGUAAAGCGCACGUAGGCGGACUAUUAAGUCAGGGGUGAAAUCCCGGGGCUCAACCCCGGAACUGCCUUUGAUACUGGUAGUCUCGAGUCCGGAAGAGGUGAGUGGAAUUCCGAGUGUAGAGGUGAAAUUCGUAGAUAUUCGGAGGAACACCAGUGGCGAAGGCGGCUCACUGGUCCGGUACUGACGCUGAGGUGCGAAAGCGUGGGGAGCAAACAGG
rnacentral:rRNA from 1 species